ACCCAUAUGAUGAGUCCCAGAGAGGACGAAAUGCGUAUCUUGGAU
rnacentral:hammerhead_ribozyme from 1 species